rnacentral:rRNA from 1 species
GACUGGGAUAACUUCGGGAAACCGGAGCUAAUACCGGAUAAUAUUUUGAACCGCAUGGUUCAAAAGUGAAAGACGGUCUUGCUGUCACUUAUAGAUGGAUCCGCGCUGCAUUAGCUAGUUGGUAAGGUAACGGCUUACCAAGGCAACGAUGCAUAGCCGACCUGAGAGGGUGAUCGGCCACACUGGAACUGAGACACGGUCCAGACUCCUACGGGAGGCAGCAGUAGGGAAUCUUCCGCAAUGGGCGAAAGCCUGACGGAGCAACGCCGCGUGAGUGAUGAAGGUCUUCGGAUCGUAAAACUCUGUUAUUAGGGAAGAACAUAUGUGUAAGUAACUGUGCACAUCUUGACGGUACCUAAUCAGAAAGCCACGGCUAACUACGUGCCAGCAGCCGCGGUAAUACGUAGGUGGCAAGCGUUAUCCGGGAAUUAUUGGGCGUAAAGCGCGCGUAGGCGGUUUUUUAAGUCUGAUGUGAAAGCCCACGGCUCAACCGUGGAGGGUCAUUGGAAACUGGAAAACUUGAGUGCAGAAGAGGAAAGUGGAAUUUCCAUGUGUAGCGGUGAAAUGCGCAGAGAUAUGGAGGAACACCAGUGGCGAAGGCGACUUUCUGGUCUGUAACUGACGCUGAUGUGCGAAAGCGUGGGGAUCAAACAGGAUUAGAUACCCUGGUAGUCCACGCCGUAAACGAUGAGUGCUAAGUGUUAGGGGGUUUCCGCCCCUUAGUGCUGCAGCUAACGCAUUAAGCACUCCGCCUGGGGAGUACGACCGCAAGGUUGAAACUCAAAGGAAUUGACGGGGACCCGCACAAGCGGUGGAGCAUGUGGUUUAAUUCGAAGCAACGCGAAGAACCUUACCAAAUCUUGACAUCCUUUGACAACUCUAGAGAUAGAGCCUUCCCCUUCGGGGGACAAAGUGACAGGUGGUGCAUGGUUGUCGUCAGCUCGUGUCGUGAGAUGUUGGGUUAAGUCCCGCAACGAGCGCAACCCUUAAGCUUAGUUGCCAUCAUUAAGUUGGGCACUCUAAGUUGACUGCCGGUGACAAACCGGAGGAAGGUGGGGAUGACGUCAAAUCAUCAUGCCCCUUAUGAUUUGGGCUACACACGUGCUACAAUGGACAAUACAAAGGGCAGCGAAACCGCGAGGUCAAGCAAAUCCCAUAAAGUUGUUCUCAGUUCGGAUUGUAGUCUGCAACUCGAAUACAU